rnacentral:rRNA from 1 species
GUACACACCGCCCGUCGCUACUACCGAUUGAGCGUUUUAGUGAGGACCUUGGACUGCCGGUACUGUGGUUCGCCACGCUGCCAGCGGAAAGACGUUCAAACUGUAGCGCUUAGAGGAAGUAAAAGUCGUAACAAGGUUUCCGUAGGUGAACCUGCAGAAGGAUCA